GACGAACGCUGGCGGCGUGCUUAACACAUGCAAGUCGAACGGGAAAUUCGGGACUUUGCGCGCUCCGGUUCGGAGGCCAACGGGAGAUUAACUUGUGUUCAGUAUGCCUCGCACUCUGGGAUAAUCAUUGCAAAUGACGUCUUAGACCGGAUGAGACACGGCCGGGCGUUGUGUCCGCGUUGAAUGAACUUGUGUGCGGGGUGAGCUCGCGGCCUAUCAGCUUGUGAGUGAGGUACUGGCUCACCAAGGCGACGACGGGUAGCCGGCCUGAGGGGGUGACCGGCUACACUGGGACUGAGAUACGGCCCAGACUCCUACGGGAGGCAGCAGUGGGGAAUAUUGCACAAUGGGCGGAAGCCUGAUGCAGCAACGCCGCGUGGGGGAAGACGGCCUUCGGUUUGUAAACCUCUUUUCUCUGGGACGAAGCGAAAGUGACGGUACCUGGAGAAAAAGCACCGGCUAACUCCGUG
rnacentral:rRNA from 1 species